UACAGAGGUCCCAAGCGUUGUUCGGAUUCAUUGGGCGUAAAGGGUGUGUAGGUGGCGCCGUAAGUCGGGUGUGAAAUCUCGGGGCUUAACUCCGAAACUGCAUUCGAUACUGCGGUGCUUGAGGACUGGAGGGGAGACUGGAAUUCAUGGUGUAGCAGUGAAAUGCGUAGAGAUCAUGAGGAAGACCAGUGGCGAAGGCGGGUCUCUGGACAGUUCCUGACACUGAGACACGAAGGCCAGGGGAGCAAACGGG
rnacentral:rRNA from 1 species